rnacentral:rRNA from 1 species
CCUACGGGAGGCAGCAGUAGGGAAUCUUGUGCAAUGGGCGAAAGCCUGGCACAGCAACUCCGCGUGCGGGAAGAAGGCCUUAGGGUUGUAAACCGCUUUUGGCAGGAACGAAAAUGACGGUACCUGCAGAAUAAGGUGCGGCCAACUACGUGCCAGCAGCCGCGGUGACACGUAGGCACCAAGCGUUGUCCGGAUUUAUUGGGCGUAAAGAGCUCGUAGGCGGUUCAGUUAGUCGGGUGUGAAAACUCUGGGCUUAACCCGGAGACGCCACUCGAUACUGCUGGGCUAGAAUUCGGUAGGGGAGUGGGGAAUUCCUGGUGUAGCGGUGAAAUGCGCAGAUAUCAGGAGGAACACCGGUGGCGAAGGCGCCACUCUGGGCCGACAUUGACGCUGAGGAGCGAAAGCGUGGGUAGCAAACAGGAUUAGAUACCCUGGUAGUCCACGCCGUAAACGGUGGGCACUAGGUGUGGGUUCCAACCAACGGAAUCCGUGCCGUCGCAAACGCAUAAGUGCCCGCCUGGGGAGUACGGCCGCAAGGUUAAAACUCGAAAGGAUUGACGG